CUACGGGGUGCUCCAGUGAGGAAUAUUGCACAAUGGGGGGAACCCUGAUGCAGCAACGCCGCGUGGAGGAUGACGCAUUUCGGUGUGUAAACUCCUUUUAUAUGUCAAGAAAAUGACGGUAGCAUAUGAAUAAGCACCGGCUAACUCCGUGCCAGCAGCCGCGGUAAUACGGAGGGUGCAAGCGUUACUCGGAAUAACUGGGCGUAAAGGACGCGUAGGCGGGUUGGAAAGUCAGGUGUGAAAUCCUACAGCUUAACUGUAGAACUGCACUUGAAACUUCUAAUCUAGAGUAUGGGAGGGGGAGAUGGAAUUAGUGGUGUAGGGGUAACAUCCGUAGAUAUCACUAGGAAUACCUAAAGCGAAGGCGAUCUCCUGGAACAUUACUGACGCUAAGGCGUGAAAGCGUGGGGAGCAAACAGGAUUAGAUACCCUCGUAGUC
rnacentral:rRNA from 1 species